UUAAGUUCAGCGGGUAUCCCUACCUGAUCCGAGGUCAACCUUUGAUGGGGUGUUUAACGGCGCGAGACCUCCCGAGCUCCGAAGCGGAAACAUAAAGUGCCACAACGCUUAGAGACGGACGGCUCAGCCGGUUACAUUGAGGCGCGCGCCGAAGCGCGGCGCCCAAUACCAAGCGAGGCUUGAGUGGUGUAAUGACGCUC
rnacentral:misc_RNA from 1 species